GGCUUUAUAGUCAAUAUUUAUGAUGUUAGAUUGCAAUUCUAAAGUAGGAGAUAAACCUAAAGCUU
rnacentral:tRNA from 1 species